GGUAGCCGUGUGACUCUGAGUCAACGUGGAAAUUUCUGAAACUGCUCUCUCUUUUGUAGCUGAGGUUAUUUCACAGCAUCUCUGAGCCCAAUGUCUACGCUCAGGACAUCCGCCCCAGGCCUCUUGAAACUCUUCAUCACACUCUAGUGAAGACCACAUGGGCUUCUGUGCCAAUGCAUGGGAUGUUCUUUGAGCAAAGGAAGCCUGUUAUCUGAAUUGGCUUGAAGAAGAUGAACCUGGAGACAUCAGGCAAGAGCAAGAAACAACGAAGGGAGAUACAGACAGUGUGACGAAAAGCAAAAUUGGCAGAAGGAUGACUAAGCACGGAGAAAACAAUUGCUGGCAGAGAAGUGGAGGAGCAAUAUUGUAAAUAUUGACCUGAUGGUAAGAAAUCAAUAAUGAACACUGUGCUGCCUUAGAGGUAGCAGAAC
rnacentral:lncRNA from 1 species